UGAUACAACCAUAUUGCUCCAAAUUCACCACAUCUUGUCUGAUCUCAAAAGUUAAUCAGUGUUGGGCCUGGUUGGUAUGUGGAUGGGCGAGUUCUGCUAUAAUGUAUUGC
ensembl:rRNA 5S_rRNA 5S ribosomal RNA